UUCAAGUUACUCAGAAUGAGAAUCUCUUCAUGAUGAGAAGGGUAAGAAAAGCCAUGUUAAGACUGGUGUAAAAGUAAAAGAAUACCUUUGUUGAUUUCUUUUAUUCCCAAGAUAUGGCAGCACUGCCUGGCUGUCUGCUGGUACUGCCUGCCUAGUGAGUGUUCCUUGAGAAAUAGGAAGACACCUUGGUACCAGCCCAAGAGCAUGAGAACACUCCUUUAAACUAGGAAAGAACUUAACCAGCCAACAACUGGUUAAGAAAGAGUUUCAUACUGUUAGAAUGUGCAAUACAGUAAAAUCCCUCUUAUCCAGCAUCAACGGGACUGCCGACAUGCCGGAUACUUGAAUAUUGCCGGAUACCUGAAUAGAAGUGAAAUUACGUCUACAAUCACCACCCUACACUCAUGCAUCUUACCAUAACAAAGAUCAGCUGAUCUGAUCAGCUGCUUAAGUGUAAGCACAACACGCUUCCUCUUUUCCACAACUUUAGGCAUGAUGAAGGCGUCAGGCGAUAAACAGUGCACACAUGGGACUGAGUCAUUGAGUAAACACAGUGCAGUGAGCCGCGGGUGGCGCGAAGCAGUGUGCUCUGGUGGCGAGGGGACAAAGUAUGCCUCGCGUGGGAAUUUUAAUCGAUUUUAUGAGUACACAUUGAUUUUUUAUUGAUUUUAAGGCUCGGGGAAAAAUGUGCCGGAUACUUGAAGCUGCCGGAUACUCGAAUGCCGGAUGAGAGGGAUUUUACUGUAUCAAUAGUUUGGUUGGUAAGAUUAAUGAAGUUUCUUAUCUCAUGCAUAACCAUAACAUAAAUAUUAUGGCCAUUACAGAAUCAUUUGUCCUUCCUAGUAUUCCUGACUCCUUACUCUUUAUACAUAGUUAUCAUCUAUUAACCCACGCUGACAUUGUUGGAGAUGUUCAAAAACACGGUGUCUGUCUUUAUAUGAAGAACAAUCUCUCCUUUAUUUCCUUGGGCAGCAACUGUCCCAAUGUUUAUACAGUGCACCAAGUGUCCCUUAAUUGUUAUAUAAUACUUGUGUAUUGACAUCCAUCAAAUUCUCCAGAGGAUAAUUUCAGGCUGACAAACUACUUGCAACAAUUCUGCACUGAUAAGGUAACUUCAAUUUUCCUGCCAUUGAUUGGACUGGGGAUGAUGCAAUGUACAUUCCUUGAUUAAGACCAUCCCUCUGCUGCUUUUACAAAUUGGUUUAACUCCAUUGGCCUACAUCAGUGGAUUGAUUUCCUAACUUUCAUACCUUCAGGUGACAGCCCUAACCUAAUCUUGUUAAUGGAAGAAGACAGAGUAGGCAAUGUAUGGUCUUCUUGCCCUUUUCCUGGCUGUGGACACGUUCCUAUACUUUUCAAUGAUCACCUCGUGUCCAAUUGUGUUGAGGAUAACAGUAAUUGUCCUCGUAAGAGAGCCUGGGCUGGAGGCAAAUAUAAUAUCAUUGAUGACCACUUAUCUGGAUAAAAUUGGGACUAUGAGUUCUGUCAUCUCUCAGUAAAUGCAAUGUUGACCAGACUAGGCAAUUCUUACACCACUGAUAAAAUCCUACAUACCACUCUGUACAAAACCUAACCCUGGUUCUUUUUCACAUCCUUCUGCUACCCUUAAAAGAGAGAGAAUGAGAGCAUGGCAUCUCUAGAAGAUUCCUUGGUCAAAAAUCUCAAAAAUGUUCCCAGGCUUUGUCUAAUUACAACAUUAACCAAAGUUAUAGACACUACUGUGUCUAUUCCCAGAUAGCCUCUGAAAAGUCUCUAAUUGACAAACUUAAAGAUAACCCUAAAGCUUUCCAUCAGUACAUUUGGAAUAAGAAAGUUGUAACUCCUUUCUAAUGCAUCAUGACACGUCGCUUGUUGUCAUUUUUGAUGUUAUGGCUUAAAUCUUUGUCAACAAUUUUGCUUUUGUAUUUAAAGACACUUGUCAUAACUCUUUCUGAAUCACGCUUUCCAAAGACUUCUCGAUUAUGUUAAUUUUACUCUCUGAUGUGAAAAAAAAGGCUUGUAGCAUUUGAUCUCCACACAAGUAUUGGACUGGAUGGCCUGCACCCCUGACUAUUAAGAUCAUACCCAUCCCUGGCUUACCCCACAUUCAAAUUCUUCACCUCCAGCAUGAGCGGAGGCACUCUCCCUGCAUUGUGGAAGGUCUCAAACAUAGUUCCCAUAUUCAAGAAAGGUUCCCUCUCUGACACACUAAAUUACAGACCAAUAAGUCUUCUGUAUGCUGUAUAGCCAUGAAAAAAUAGUAGCUGACUGUAUUUACUCCUACCUUGAGCAAAAUUUUAUACUCAUUGCUGACCAAUAUGGUUUUCAAGGUGGCCGGACAGCUGAUGAUCAGCAGUUACUGACCAAUUGUUACUGUACGCAAAGCGUAUGUACCUUACAUCAUUAUUCCUCAGUAAUCAUAAGUGAAAUGUUCAAUAGUUUUCUGUUUGCAUGAAGACGUGUAAUUUGUGUAAGUAUCAAUAUUCAAUGCUAUAUUAAGCACCAAAGCCAAUGCUCACUUGUUAGUAGAGUGUGGUUAACUCAUUGGUCGCCUGCGGGCGUCACUCACAGCCAAGUUGUGCUCAAAGAUGGGCAGGAUGGUGACCAAGGUAAAUACUUUAAUUUUUGUAGUAAAAACUGAUUGUUAUAAUGCCAAGUUAAUUGCAUGUAUUGUUAAUGAAUACUGUAAUAUGUUGAAAGUGUUUAAUAUCAGUGUAUAAUGUUAUUUUGUAAGAAAUUGAGACCGAGAACUUGUUUGCAGUUCUUACAGUCAUGCCUACCUCAUCAAUAAAUGUCAAGAGAGAGAACUGCCCUUCCUCGACCCUACGAUGAUGGGUGUGAUCAAUAAAACAGAUCACCUGAGAGCUAAUGAAGACUUGCCGGUGCAGCUACACGAAUGACUGUAACUCUGGGGUUAGAUACUGAAAGUGUGGUAGAUAUGAUACUAUUUGACUUCUCCAAAGCUUUUGAUGUGAUAAACCACACUCCAGUGCAUUGGUAUCAUGGGCCUGCUGCUGAACUGGAUCAGCUCAUUUCUACAGCAUGCCAGGCAACUCCACUGGCCUCUUCUUCAGUGGUCAAGGGGGCAGAGCUCCAAGGAGCUAAAAUUCCAAGCCCUUGUGAGAAAUGAAGACGCCACCUUUAGAUUGCUUGCCAACCUGCAUCCCAAAGCUCCGAACAGAGUUUUUAAGAUGUAUAGUUGGGAUGAUGAUGAUUGUUUUUUUAAUUCAGGUUUUGAGUGUUUAUUGUAAAUAAUUGCUAAUAUUUUAAUGUUUGUAUAUGCAUCAGCUUUGUGUAAUAUGUUGAAGUCCUUCUCACCAACAAGUAAAGUAUUACUUAAAAUAUCACUAAAUGACAGGGUUAGAUUACCUAAGAAGAAAUAAAAACACAAAAGUGCUGACAGUUAACUAUUGCAUGGCAUGGAGAAGGUGUAGAGUCCUCACUCCAUCAAGAGCCAGCCAUGUAUUGCAUCCAUUGAAGUACAGUGAACCAUCCCCCUGACAUGAAUGAAGUUGCUCAACAAGACUACUGUCCCAGGGCAGGUGUGUUGAUAGUAGAUAAAUUUCGAGUUGCAGAAGAGGUGAGCAGGGAUUCACCAGAGUUUCUUUUUUUCAUUUAUUACUUGUGCAA